UCGCGAGUGUUUAUUUUAAUAUCCUUUUUUAAUUAUUUUGUUAAGCCAUGUGGUACUUUAGCGUAAUCUCUUACAAAUUUUCUAUAAUAACCUGUUAUACCUAGGAAUGAUUUAAUUUGCUUUCAUGUAGUAGGCAAUUUUAGUUUUUGUAUGUUUUCGAUUUUGCUUAAAUUUGGUUGUAUUCCUUCUGUUGUUAAAGUGUGACCUAGAAAUUCAGUUGUUUUCGCGAAAAAUUUGCAUUUAUCUACCUGAAUCUUUAACUAAAAAUUAAGAUGUCGUCUAAAUAAACUACACAUAUCUUGUUGAUAUAUUCCCUAAGAACUGAAUUCAUUAAAAGUUGGAAAGUUGCUGGGGCAUUCUUUAGUCCGAAAGGCAUUCUUAUAAAUUCAAAGUGUCCUUGGGGUGUAGAGAAAGCUGUUUUUGGUCUAUCUUCUUCUUUUAUUAAUACUUGAUGAAAGCCUUUUGCAAGAUCUAAUGUUGUAAAAUACUGAGCUCUUCCAAGUUUGCUGAGUAUUGUUGCUAUAUGUGGUAUUGGAAAUUUGUCAUCUAUAGUGACUUCGUUUAGCUUCCUGUAGUCAAUAACUAUUCCCCAUUUUUUCUUCACUGAAUUGUCUUGCUUUUUCGGUACAAUCCAAAGAGGCGAGUUGUACGGGGAAUUACUUUCUUUAAUUAUACUUUGGCGCAACAUCUCGUUCAUCUGUCUACUAAUUUCUUCUUCAUGAAUUUGGGGAUAUCUAUAAAUUUUAUUAUAAUUGGUCUACUUGUUUUUGUAACAAUUUCAUGCUGAAUUUCAUGAGUAUGAGAAAGGUUUUUACCUUCUUGGAAAAAUAAAUCGCUAUUUGCUUUUAGAAUGUAUUCUAAUUUUUGCUUUUCUUCUUCAUUCAUGUCACUAUUUGAUAAAAUAUCUAGCAAAUUCUCUUUACAUUCUGUAUGUACAUUAAUAUCUUCGUAAUUGUAAGGGCAUGAGUUUAUAAAUUUAAUUUUAUUGCCGUUUAUUUUUACAUACUCCUUUUCUAAAUUAAUUGUUGCUUUAAUAGGUUUUAAAAUAUUCUGUCCUAUUAUAGCAUCAAAGUUAUUAUUUUUUAUGUUGGUUAGUUUCCAAUGUAUAUAACUUUUUUCAUUCAAUUCGUUUGGGGUUGGGGUGACUAACUCUUUAUUUAGGGAAAAAUUUUCCUUAAUGGUGCUAAAGUGUAUUGGUUUAUCAAGCUCAAUGCAUUCAUAAUCUUUUAACACAUUAUAUUUCAAUAAUGAUGUUGUAGACCCUGUGUCAAUAAGACAUUUAAUUUUUGAAUUUUUUAUGAUCACUUUUAUUAUCGGUAACGAUUGUUUUGGGCUGGCAACCGAAAAUUUGCUUGUUCUUGAACGUGAUCUAUUUCCAUCGGUUCGGGGGGGUUUUGUCUCCUUUGGACUGAAUUAUAUCUUCUAGAUUGUUGAGAAUUAUUUUGCCUAUUUUGUCCAAAGCUAAAUUGUUGAUAAUUGUCAUUUUGGUUAGAAUUUUUACGAAAUUCUCUCUGCUGAUUUUGUCAAAUUGAAAAUUAUUGGAAUUUUGCAUAUACUGUUUAUUAUUGAAAUUGCCAAAAUUGUGAGCCAAAGAAUUUCUAUUUGAAAAAUUUCUAUAAUUAUUUCUUUGAUAAUUCUUUUGUCUUUUGUCAAAUUGUAAUAGCAAACCUGUCUCUUGAAGAACGCUAAAAGCCUCUCUAAUCGUGCUUAUAUUUCUACUAAUCACUACACUGCUUAAGUUGGGGUUGUAUCCCAUUUAAAAAUGUUUUUAGAAUUAAACUUUCGUUGUUAAUUGGAGAAAAUUCUAUAGGCUUUAUCGUAUCGAAUUCAUGUUUUAAAUUUAGUUUAUCCAAAAUAUCUUUUAAAUUUUGAAAAUAUUGACUUACGUUAUAGUUUCAUAGUACAAUCGCCUGAUUGUAAGGGGUGUGGCACGACUUCUUUACUCCAAAAUUCUUUAUGAGUUCUUCUCUCAUUUGCUGCCAUGUUGGUGUAGGUUCCAAAGGCCGGAUGACACUUGCUGCUUCUCCUUUAAUUUUUGUUUUGACGCUGCGUUGCAAAUUCCAACAUUGAUGGGUUGGGGUUGAAUAAAGGAAGGAUCAUGUCAACUUCCCUGAUGAACGAUGAUAAAUUUCUGCCGUCAAAAUCCAUGAUUCUUGAAGCUUCUUUCAAAAUUUGCGAUCCUAUCAUCUGAAGUGGUUGCUGCUCGCCUGGAUUCAUUGCUGAUGUAUCCUCUUUUAACCCUGCCUUCAUAACGUUAUUUUUAACCUUUUCAGUCAUAAUGAUACGUCUGGUAGAUGUAUCGUUUCUUUUGGGCUUUCAUUGGAUACCACGAAACUUUAUACUUUGAUAAUUUAUUUGUUAAAUUAAAAUAUGCAUGCGUUGUGUAAAAAAUUGUAGGAGGGAGAGCAAAAUGUAAAGAGGUCGUGCGCCUCUCAGAUGUACGUUAUGAAAGCAAGGUUAAUACAACUGAACUUGUUGUUGUCGCUUUGUAUGGUGCACUUCGCUCUCUCUGCGUCUUCUGUGUGUGGGGCAUUAAUCUUUAAUCCCACUUUUCCUGGUUAUGUUGAUGGGCUGAAUGAAGCUAUUCUUCGCCUUCAUAAAUUGAAGUCCUCGGAGUCGCUCUCCGACGUUCCAGAUAACUUGUGUAGAAGCUUAAGUUUCUUAAACUUAGCUAUCUGUGCCGACCGACUUAUAUAUUUAUAUAUAUAUAAGAGAUCUUUAAAAUGGGAGCUAAUCUCAGGAUUUGCUUCCCGUUGCUAAAGCUUACGAAACUUAAAAAACUUCAGUUUUUAGUAUCGCUCAACUUUGCAGUUUGUUUUUACCGACUGCGCCAGUUUUAGUUGUUCGAAUAAAAUAAAAAUGCCGACGAUGUUACUUCUGUGACAUUAUACUUUAUUCUCUUACUUUUUCAAAUUAUGUUCUGCUUAUAUAACUACUAAAGUGAUUACAAUUUUCUUAAUCUAUUUCUUUGUUUUUUUUAUUUUCUUAUGAAAUACAAUAUUUGUUAAAUGUAAUCUUAUUUUCUAUUGAAUGCAAACAAACAUGAUUGUGUGGUUUACCCGAUAAUGUCUGGGUUAUCAUUACAGCCAAACAUAAGGACCAAAACAUGUUUGUAUGCAUUUGCGUUAUGUUCUUUAUCUCUACUUGUUAUCUUACUUUUUUGUAAUGAUUACUUGUUUUUCUUUAAUCUUUUAUUUUGUCCAAUUUACAAUAUUUUGUUGUGUAGUGCGCGAUGAGGGUGGAAUAAAUUUUUUGAGAUGUUAAUAAAAAAUACGAGAAAUUAAUACCGAAUUCUAUGGUUAAAUCAAAUGUUGAAUAAAGUAUUAAAUAAAAUGUUAAAUUAAAAGGUUAAAUAAAAAAAUUAGUCUCAACUGCACCCUCUGAACUCCCGGUUUCCCAAUUGGACCAAUCAGAAUGCGCCACGUUAGUUUAUGCGUAAGCAAGUAGGACUUCAAAUAAUUGCUCCCGCUUUGCUUAUUAGACUAAUCACACCGCGCGAGGAUUACGUGAGUCAUGCUGCCAGAUCGUUCGUAACAGCCGUGAAAAUCUACGGUAUCCUACGGUAAAGCGGGCGGUAGAAGCGGUGUUGGCUGAUCUUUUACAUUGCGCUCCCAUAAGAUAGGUCGUAUCAGCUGAGCUUCGGCUAUUGGUUUUCCGUGAUAACGGUGAUUUCGCAUGAAACAGUGAGGGUAUAUACAGGGUGGCGCAAAAGUCAGAAGAUGAUCAGAUGAUGCUACAAAUUUUGCAAUUGCCCUCUAAUGUCAGUUCUGUUUUAACAUUUGUGUAGGAAAUACACGUAAAUAAAUAAUGGUACGCUGCACUACGUGCCACAACCGUUAUGCUGAAGGAUGCAUUUCCCGGGCGCCUUAUCUCCCGUUUUGGCGGUUUGCACUGGACAGCAGGAUCGCCUGAUUUGACCGCUCCAGACUUCUUUUUGUGGGGCCGAUUUAUGUCAACAAGCUCCGACCCUUGCAGCCUUUAAAGACAAUAUCCGUCAAGAAUGUAAGGCCCUAUUGCGGGAAGUUCUGGCCAAAGUGAUGGCAAAUGCUAUAAAAAGGGCUCAAAUGAUAAUCAACUGUGGAGGCGGCCAUUAACAUGAUAUCAUAUUCUCGACUCGAUGUAAAAAAAUGUAAAAGACCAAAUAAAAAUUAUCCACAUACUCGUAUAGGAGACUCCUUUUGAUAUUUUCAAAGAGAUCAAAGUUUUUAAUUUUUUAAAAAAGUCUUUCAUUUUCAAAAAAACAUUGGACGGUAAUUUUUGCGCCACCUAUUACAAGCAUGUAUUUACUUAUAAAGUUGUGUCUGGACAAAUUUACAAAUAUUAUGCGAAUAGUUCUUUCGUGAGUAUGUGCCACCGCUUGGUCUUUUAACAUGUUAUCAAAACUUUUCAUGUCCAGCAAAAAAAUAAGUAAACAACUUAUCAAACCUAAAUUAAUUAAAUAUUUAAGUAAAAUUUCAAACAUGAUUUCAUUACAUAUUUCAAAAGAUUUUAAGGAAUUCAUCAUGAAAUAGUUCAAAAUAUAGAUAACACAUCUACAUAUCAGUUAUAAGCCGAGUCGUUUGCGCAUUGUAAACUUACCAAUAUGUAGCUUACAUUACUAAACAUUGAAACUAGCAUAAUCAUUUGCAUUUAACACUGAAAAUGCUCAAUUCUGUUAUUUUCGUGCCGUUGCUGUUAACUGUGGCGAAAUAAGCUCGUUCAAAACAGUACUAUGAUAUAUGUACAUAUGUACGUUCUCUGAUUCUAGAGCUGCCAUAAUAAGAGCAAAUGAGACAAUACCAAGUUGUUGAUUCGGCUAAUGAGAAGAUGAGAUAAUGAGAAGCAGACUGGAACUUCUCCGUGACCAGUAUCAAGGUUGGUAUCCGGCUCUCAAGUAAUUGCUUAAGAAAAAAAUACAUUAUUUCUUCAAGUAGCUUUGGCAGCUGGUUACGCAUUGUGAAUGAUUCACAUUAGAAGAGCAAGAGAGAAUAAACAAAGAAAGUAAACUUUGUGUAUAAUAUGUAUGUAUGUAUGUGUGUAGUAACAUAUAUAAAUAUUUUCCUUGCGAUUUAAGGAAUAUUGUUGAUGAUUGGUAAGUUUUAUACAACAUUUCAAAAUGAAAUUUACUUCAUAAUGAUGAUUUUAACUAAUUUAGGACGAAUUUAACGAUUACUUUGAAUUUCCUUCAAGAAACAAUUGUUAAUUUGAUAUUUCUUGGCAAACCCAGGUUUGCCAUAUUCGCAUUUUAUUGAAAAAAAGUACUAAAAAUUAGUACCAGAUUACUUUAGAGCUGCAUACUAGCACAAGUAAAUUUAUCGCAGGAAAGUUUCUUGACCGUUUCCAAAGCGUUUUUUUAUAUGGAAUUUUUACAUUUCGUGAGAGCUUAAUACUAAGCUUUAUAUUGAAUUUGCGGUUUUAUAUUUUUAAACAGUAAAGCAGUUGUGAACAGAGUCAACUGAUUUUAAACUAAUGCUUAACGAUAUGCCUGGUACGUCUAGACAGAGCUGGUCUGCACUAAAUCGUAGAAAGUGCACAUCAACUGAAGUAUAUCCCCAAAAGCCAAACGCAUCAAAUGCUAUUCCAUAUCCCUGUUAUUGGAAAAGCGCUGGAGAACGAUAUUUUGAAAAUAAAAUCGGACUAAAAAGAAAAAAUGCUGAAAAAAAGACAAGUUCUACGCGAACAAGUGAUGUGCGAUAUUUCACCAGCGGUGCUUUUAUUACUAUAGGUUGGUACGCAGCUCACAAGUAAUUGCUCAAGAACAAAAAUACAUUAUUUCUCAAGUAAUUUUGACAGCUGGUUACGCAUUGUGAAUGAUCCACAUUAGAAGAGCAAGAGAGAAUAAACAAAGUAAACAAGCUUUGUGCGUAUGUAUGUAUGUAUGUAUGUGUAUGGUAACACAAAUAUUUUCAUUGAGAUUUAAGGAAUGUUGUUGAUGAUUGGUUGGUUUUAUACAACAUUUCAAAAUGGAACAUACUUUAUAAUAAUGAUUUCAACUAAUUUAGGAUGAAUUUGACGAUUACUUCGAAUUUCCUGCAAGAAACAAUUGUUGAUUUGAUGUUUCUUCGCAAAACCAGGUUUGCCAUAUUCACAUUUUAUUGAAAAAAAGUAUUAAAAAUUAGUACUAGCUUUCUUAAGAGCUGCGUACUAGCACAAGUAACUUUAUCGCAGGAACGUUUCUGGACCGUUUCUUAAGCGUUUUUUUAUAUGAAGUUUUUACGUUUCUUGAGAGCUGCGUACUAAGCUUAUAAUUGAAAAAUCGGUUAGAGUCACUGCUAUUGCUAGCCCACAAUAUCAAUGAUUGGUGAUUUUUCUACAUGUCACUAUUUACUGUGAAUGAAAUUUACAAUUGGCACCAGCUGAUGAACAAAAAUUGCGUGUGGUGAUUUUUUUGGUGUUAGAGGUAGAAAUUGUGAUUUUGAAUACUUCUUUAUUCACUGUGAAUAUUUCUGGCGAUUUUUUGGUUUUAGAGGCAGAAAUUGUGAUUUUGAAUAAUUUUUCACUGUGAAUAUAUGUACAGUGAGCGCAUUUCGUUUAGUUGAAUGGCUAGUUGUUCCUAUUAUUUAUCGUUAUUCCGAAAAUUGCUAUGGUACUUUAUGCCAGCUGCAAAUAUUUUACAUUUCGCUUUCGUAACCAUAUAUUUUUUAAUUGUAAUUAGUCUACCUAUAUCAUACUUGAAAAAUUGUUAGUGAAAAGAGGUAAUCAGUGUUAAUUUUAGUGCGCAUUUCGUUUAGCCGAAAAGGUGGUAAAAGUCAUUUUAUAAAGAUAUAAAGAGGUAAUUUGUAUUUUUUAGAAAAAAUAUUAAAACUGACACUGCAUGGAUUUAUUGGGUUCAUCUAAGUUAUUUUGUUUAAUUAUUUUUUAUACCCUUUAAAGCCAUGCCGAAGUGACCCUACUUGCCAAGUGAAGAAAAAGCUUUUAUAACGGCACAUAAAGAUAAGGGUAUGAGAAAUGUGCAGAUUGCUUUAAAAAUUCAGAGAUCUGAGAAAGUUAUAGGAAAUUAUUGGGCAAGAAUUAUGGUCAGAAGAAAAAACUAAAGGUAACAAAAAAAUUUCAGAUCGCCAAAAAGGUCAAAUUAAGGACCUGGCAACAAAAAAAGCUAACCGGUUAUAGCAGAACUUGAUCUUCCCAUUAAAAAACGUCGUGUCCAGAAAUUUUUAUACACAACACAAAACGUUGUUUAUAAAAAAAAAAAACCAGCAAAAGCACCGGCACUGACAAAAGCCCGCAAGGAUGCAAGGAUGCAGUUCGCACAUGAAAUGGAGGUCAAAAUGGAAAAAUGUAAUUUUUUUUGACGAGAAAAAAUUUAAUCUCGACGGUCCUGUUGGAUUUGGUUACUUUUGGCAUGAUUUAAAAGGAAAAGAGGAACCAAGGUUGAGUAGGAUCUUUGAUGGUGGAAGUGUUAUGAUUUGGGCAGCCUUCUCUUAUUAUGGAAGUUCCAGAAUAUGCUACGUUCCAACAAAAGUUAAUAGCAAAAUCUACACGGACAUGUUGGAAUCAGAAUUAAUAUCAUUUCUGGAGGACUGUCAUCAAGAAGAACCCAUUUUCCAACAGGAUGACGCAGCUAACCACGUCUCGCGACAUUCUAUUCACUGGUUUGAAGACAAAAAUAUUGAAUUGGUGAAAUGGCCUACACGCAGUCCAGACUUAAAUCCCAUCGAGAAAUUUUGGGGUAUUCUGGCUAGAGAAGUUUUUAUAAAAAUGGUUGUCAAUAUUCGGCUAGACGAAAUUCGCUCCUGUACCGUAAUAUAACUAUUAUAUUAAUAAAAGCAAUAUGAAAUUCGAAAAUCUUUGUUUUCUUUAAUAAUGAAAUAUAUAUUGAUCUAGAGGACCCGUCCACGCUUCACUGUGGCUGAUGCAUAGACACCACUACCUAUAUCUAUCUAUAUUAGGGCGGGUCGAUUUAAAAAUCGCUCAUUGCUCUAUGAAGAUCGUAUUCUAGGGAUCAAAAUAUGAAACUUUGCUGAAGGAACCAUACCUCUAAAACGAAUUUUGAUGUCCCCCAAUUUGGGUCGAACUUUUGGGUAGGGGCAAAUUUUGAAAAAUCCCACUUUGACCCAUUUAGAGUGCUCCAAUCGAGUCCAAAUGUAUGACCGACCCCCACUAACUUUGGACGGCCGAUCCACUCAUGCCAGUGGCACACCCCCUGGAACUCCCCUGGGGGGGUUCCCCAUACAAUCAUUUCAAAAAAUCACCAUUUUUGGCCAUUACAUGAAAAAAUCAGCUAAUUGGCUAUGUUUUUUCUUUAUUUUUAUUUAUUUAUUUAUAAUAAUAUCUAUUUUUUCUCUUAAGAAAUUUAUUUAGUCAGAACAUAUGUCAUUUCAAAAAAUCACCAUUUUUGGCCAUUACAUGAAAAAAUCAGCUAAUUGGCUAUGUUUUUUCUUUAUUUUUAUUUAUUUAUUUAUAAUAAUAUCUAUUUUUUCUCUUAAUAAAUUUAUUUAGUCAGAACAUAUGUAAAUGAAAAAAUUAUUAUAAAAAAGAAACUAAAAAAAAUUAUUGUUUGAAGUCUUUUUUACUUUCAAGUCUGGGCAAUUUCGCACGGCUCUCUAAUGUCGUCGCCAUAACAGCCUCUACAUUUUCCGGUAUAACCCGUUUAGAAACGCUAGCUAGCAAUUCAACAUGUCGUUCCGUCCCUUGUAUGUGUGAUGGAAUUUUUAGAUCAUUAAACGGUGGAUCAUCUUGAUUUAAAUAUUCUUUCAAUGUAUCGUACGGAAUGGUGGUUCAAAUACGAUAUUUAUAUCAUUCAAAUUGAUCAUUUCCGUAUAACUUGUGCAAUUAAAGUUUAUAUCUGGUUUUUUAUAAACUCUAAGUUCCAUUGGCUCGUCAACAUCGGUUCGAUAGCGUAGAAUUUUCUUGAUGGCACAGUCGCGCUUUUCUUUCCUAUCAUCAAACAACAUUGAUAACAAGAUAUUUUCCGAAUGCGCAUAAUAUAAAUUAUCUUUAAUUACUUGAUUGACAAUUUUGCUUAAACGAGGUUCUAGAAAUUCUGACCAACCAAUGAACUUGAAAAAUAAUGCACUGCCGUACACGACAGAGCUGUAAUACUUGAUACUGAAGUACAUUGGCACAUAACAUUUAAUUAUAAAUUCAACCAGAAUUCUUAAAUUUGCACGUGGAUUUUCCGUUGUCACAUAUAAUAGCAAUAAUCUGGCGGCCUUGGUGAGCCACCGAGAAUGUACAAUUUUCCCUGGUUUGAUGUUAGCCAGAUCCACCGGAACUACGCCACUAGAAAUUGCAUGGGCCAUGUCGUAUAAGUACUUCGAAUCGGUGGAAAAUUAUUUUUUUUCUGGAGCAGGGGACAUAUUUUGCAACUCAAUUUUCUGGAAGCCGUCCACCACCUAAAAAUAUAUAAUAAUAAAAUAAGUAAAAAUGGUUGACAAUUAUAAUAAAUGAGUGAUAGCAAUAACUUACCGGAAGAGUUUCACAAGUUUCGAUUUGACGGCUCAGUUUUCCGGUUGCCGAUCUUGGUCCAGUGCUGGUUGAUUUAUCCAAAGCUUCAAACAAAUGCCGAAACGAAAGUUCGUUGAAGUGUAGAAGGCAAACAAACCAAUGCAAUGGUAUUUUUAACAGCAAUUCGAAUCGUCAUAUAAUUCCACCGUGUGGGCCAGUGUUUGUAGGCUUACCGUCAGUGCAUAUUCCAAUUAAUGUAUCCAGUGAUAUAUUUUUAUCGUUGAAAAAACCAUUUAAUUUGGUUGUUUUGUAUUCAGCGGUUUCAUGCUCCAUUCUUACGUAACCAAUCAAUUCAGAAUUGGGUUCUCUCAAAAUAACAAGAUGAGGUUCUUUUACCAUCCUAGUAUGAUACUUCUCAUCAAUUUUAUCUAUCGUUAAAGUAUCAUCUUUUCUGGCAUCGAAUGAAAACGUUAACAAAUUGGUAUCAUCUAACCCAGGGAUGGGCACAUUAGCCCUCAGUGGCAUUUUGCCCGUGCGGGCACGAGUGCACAUUUUGAGCAUGGAUAAAUUGAUCCGAAACUCCUCUCUUCGCUUUCUGAGAGAGCCCAUGAUCUCACGGUUUGGUAUGGCAACACUGAAAGUUCAUGGGCUACGAAUCAGGUGACAAGCAAAACAAUGAACUGCCAGACAAAAUCCCAUUAAAAAUAACUGACAAAAUCAGUUCGUUUUUUUUUCAUUGUGGAAUACAUACAUAAAUAAUUGUGUUGUGAAAAUAUAGUGUUUUUUUUAUUAAAAAUACAGUGUAUAAGUGUUUUUACUAAAAAUAAAGUUGGAAAAUGCCGAGAACUAAAAAUAAGUGUGUGGCUGGUUGCGUAGGAGCGCGACGGUUUUUCAAUUUCCCCAACAAGGAGAAGGAUGGAUCCAGGUUCGUAAAUAAUUUUAAUUAGUAGAAAAAUAUAGUUAUUUAGUGAAAUUUAGAAAUAUUUUUUCAUAAAUUGUGCCUAUUUUGAUCUUGUUUUAGAUGCAAUUUAUUGCAUAAUAAAAAAUAUAUCAUACUUGCGAAAUAUAAUGUAAUUUAGUAAAUAGUAUUGUAAUAUUUAAUAGAUCCAAUUUAAUAUGUUGUUUGGAGUAGCGUAGUAGAUGUAAAUAUUACUAUAAUUAUAAAUUAUAAGUACAAAUAAAUGUAAUACUAGUAAAGGGUGAUUUUUUAAGAGCUUGAUAACUUUUAAAAAAAAAAAAAACGCAUAAAAUUUGCAAAAUCUCAUCGGUUCUUUAUUAGAAACGUUAGAUUGGUUCAUGACAUUUACUUUUUGAAGAUAAUUUCAUUUAAAUGUUGACCGCGGCUGCGUCUUAGGUGGUCCAUUCGGAAAGUCCAAUUUUGGGCAACUUUUUCGAGCAUUUCGGCCGGAAUAGCCCGAAUUUCUUCGGAAAUGUUGUCUUCCAAAGCUGGAAUAGUUGCUGGCUUAUUUCUGUAGACUUUAGAUUUGACGUAGCCCCACAAAAAAUAGUCUAAAGGCGUUAAAUCGCAUGAUCUUGGUGGCCAACUUACGGGUCCAUUUCUUGAGAUGAAUUGUUGUCCGAAGUUUUCCCUCAAAAUGGCCAUAGAAUCGCGAGCUGUGUGGCAUGUAGCGCCAUCUUGUUGAAACCACAUGUCAACCAAGUUCAGUUCUUCCAUUUUUGGCAACAAAAAGUUUGUUAGCAUCGAACGAUAGCGAUCGCCAUUCACCGUAACGUUGCGUCUUUGAAAAAAUACGGUCCAAUGAUUCCACCAGCGUACAAACCACACCAAACAGUGCAUUUUUCGGGAUGCAUGGGCAGUUCUUGAACGGCUUCUGGUUGCUCUUCACCCCAAAUGCGGCAAUUUUGCUUAUUUACGUAGCCAUUCAACCAGAAAUGAGCCUCAUCGCUGAACAAAACACGCGCGCGAAACACAUUUCGAACCGAACACUGAUUUUGGUAAUAAAAUUCAAUGAUUUGCAAGCGUUGCUCGUUAGUAAGUCUAUUCAUGAUGAAAUGUCAAAGCAUACUGAGCAUCUUUCUCUUUGACACCAUGUCUGAAAUCCCACGUGAUCUGUCAAAUACUAAUGCAUGAAAAUCCUAACCUCAAAAAAAUCACCCGUUAGAAAGAAUCGUAAAUACUAAUAAAUGUUGUGAUUUUAUUUUGUACCUAUAUGGGUGAUAUAGGCCUAUAGGGAAACCGUGCACCCAAAACUAACUUCGGUAACGCGCCUUUUGUAUACCUCAGCGGUGGUGUGGAAAUUACAAACUCCCAAAACAUUUACUAAAAAUUCCCUAACGCAUUUCUUCCAUAGUGGCAUCAUUGGCAAAUGUUAUAAAAAAUGUGGACUUUGACAGCGCUCUCUCGAAUCAAAGAGUUUCGUAUCAAUUUAUCCAUGAUUUUGAGGGCUAGGUGAGGGGAUCAUCGCGGGCAAACAUGAAGAGGGAAGUGAGAGCAACGUUUUACCACUCCAUAUUUACAAAUGAGAGCAACGUAUUUUCCCACAGCAUGUUUACAAAUGAGCGACUGAUCUAUCACAUGUACAGUGGUGUGAACAAAAUAGAAACAACCAUAAGGUGUUGUGAAGUUUUAAAAUAUGCUGUUUUCUUAUUAAAUAAAAUUGUUUUUAGAUACAUAACAUAACAUAUAUAUAUUUUUUCCUAACAGUGAUUAAAAUUUCCCACCAUGCAAAGGUAAAUAAAAACAAAUUUUAAUGCGAAACUCUAAACUCUGCAAAUUAUGUUUACCCCUUUUUGUUCACACAACUGUACAAUUCCGAUAUGAAGUAAAUUUCCACCCUUAAAUUUGUGUACAAUGUCAGUAUUGCCGCAACCACUCUGCGAUGAACAUCAAGUUACGGAGGAAUGUAAUUCAUUUUUUUCGCAAUUUUUCUCAACUUGUUAUGCCCUUCUCUCCGUAAACUGAUAUUCCCCUCAUCUAGCCCCCGUGCGCACUUUGCUAACUUUGCGGGCUAAAAAUGUGCCCAUCCCUGAUCUAACCAAAUCUUGCAAAAGAGCGGUUCCCAAUGCUGAUGCUACUCUGUCAGGCACACCAAAUCUGUCACAUACCAAGGCAAAGUUAAAACAAUCGUAUCUCUCUGUGUAUUGUGAACUUGUUCUUCUAUCCAUAUCUUCUUGAACCGGUGGCGGUGCGUAUGUUGAAUCAUCGGGAUCUUGGUAUGUUGGCAUUGAUGACAUAGACGUUGCUCCUUGCUCUUCAGUUUCCAUCAUAAAUGCAUUCAUUGUUAGUCUUCUCUGAUUAUGUUUAUCGUGCAUGAACUCUUUGAGGCGUUCGGGAACCCAGCCGCAUGCACAUGGAGCUGCCUUCAAAUCGCAUUUACAUGUUCCAAUGUAAAAAACUGUUUCCAGAGAUUUUACAUACUCUGUAAAUUGUUGGGUGUUGUUUCUUCUCUUGAUUUGCCCUUGAUACUUGUCAAGCAAUUUAUUCAAUUUGUUACAUACACUUUUUUUCAGCAUUAUUUCCAUACCAAGUUUUUCCCAAAUUCCAAUCAACUUAUCUUGUACUUGAAUAGUGAAUGCUUUAUGGGAAGACUUUUUUUGUUCUGUUUUAGCACGUUCGCUUAAGUAAAAAUAAUAUCUCAAGAUAUCCAAAUGGGUUGGUAAAUUAAGAUCAGUAAAAUCAGUAGACACACCAAAAACAGUAACAUCAUGCUUGGGUAUAUGACUCAUUGGGUUUUCGAUAGUUGUUGAUGUAGUUGCUUCAUCUUGCGGUGUAGAGGAUGAUGGAUUCAUAGUAAACUUUUUGAUUUGGAAUGGUCACUUCACUUAUUAAUUUUUUUUUUUGAAAUACCAUAGUGGUUAUUGCUUUAGUUCUCCUUACUUUCAGAGGUAAUAAGAAUGAAAUGGUAAUUUCAAUUCUAUUUCAAAAUUUGCCCCUACCCUAAAGUUCGACUCAAAUUGGGGGACAUCAGAAUUCGUUUCAGAGGCAUGGUUCCUUCGGCAAAGUUUCUUAUUUUGAUCCCUAGAAUAUGAUUUUCAUACAGCAAUGGGCGAUUUUUUUGCCUCUCCCCAAAUCGAUCCGGCCUAAUCUAUAUAGUUUCUAUUAGUUGGAUUAUAAUUAUUACUAAUGAGAUAUAGCAUUUCUUUUAAGCAACUUGUGUUAGUUUACAAAAAAAUUGGAUCAUAGAGCAUUUCGUUCGUUAAUAAAUAAUUACUGCUUUUUGGAGGAAAAUACUGUUGAAUUUGGGCUCAGGGAAAUCCACCGAUGAAAAGAUAUUUGCUAAGCUUAAAGACGUGAAAGCUCUGUGCAAAGUGGGUGCCCCGCAAGUCCAAAAUCCAACAAAAGCAACGAAUAACUGGUUUUGUGAAGUGUUUGAGUGCUCUCUAAUCGGAAUAAAGCCCAAUUUUGGCGUCGGUGAUAGAAACAUAGCUCCAUCAUUUCCCACUGGAGUCCAAUCGACAGUCUUUCUGGUGGACUGCGCAUGACGAACCGGUUCUCAGGCGUGGAAAGACAUCAAUAUUUUGGGAUGCACGUGGUAUAAUACAUACUGAACGACUGAUUACUGAGCCAGUUAUAAUCUAUUUCACUGCGUAUUUGGUUGCAGUUCUUUUCUUCUAAUCCAAAUACUUAGCAAUUGUAUUAUAUUUGAAGAAGAAUCUGUCUAAAAUUGUACUCAUAUAUUCAAAUUCUGCUAUUUACACAAUUGUUGUUUUAGUAGACCAAUUCUUCAAUUUUUUGUUGGUGACAUAUACACAUGUGUACGCAUAUGUAUGUAGCAUACAAACGCUUGUGCAUUAUUUGUUCGGAAGUGUAUACAAAUAUAUGUACAUAUAAGUAUACAUGAAUGUAUUGUACGAACAUGCAGAUCAAUGCGCGCACAUGUAAUACAUUGAUAAGUGAUAACAUCAUUAUUUGAAUUUCUGAACGCGCACAUGCGUAUACAUACAUUGAGCAUGUGCAGAUACAUAAUACCAGUGUUUUUCAAUCUUUUUGAUUUCGCGACCCCUUUACAGGUUGCAAUAUAAUUUAAGAAAUAAUUUAAUUUUAAUGAAAAGACUACAUACGUUGGGUAAUAAGUUUUUCCUAUUUUAGCAAAUUUAUCUAUUGGGUUGUCAAAAAAGUCUUGCGGUAUUUUCGCGAGUUGGCGCUGAACGCGCGUAGUUCUAGUUUUAUUCGUCGCAACGGAUCAUGCUAUACCUAUUUGGAAAGCUCAUUUCACGCGCUAACAGGUGUUUGAUUGAUUGUCGUUUCUUUUAAGUCCUUCGUGAGUUAUAGCGUCGCAAACAUGGGGAAAAAUAAAGAGAAAAUACGGCAUAUUUUACAGUACUACUACGAUAAAGGCAAAAAUGAAUCUCAAGCCGCCAAUAAAAUAUGUGCAGUUUAUGGACCCGAUACAGUUUCCAUUUCCACCGCACAACAAUGGUUUCAACGUUUUCGUUCUGGUGUAGAGGUGGUCGAAGAUGCGCCACGCUCCGGAAGGCCUGUCGUCGAAAAUGGCGAUAAAAUCGCUGAAUUGGUCGAAAGAGACCGGCAUAGUAGUCAUCAAACCGUUAUAAACCAUUUGAAGAAGCUUGGAGUCACUAAGAAGCGCGAUGUAUGGGUGCCACACGAAUUGAUUCAAUAAAAAUACCGCAAGACUUUUUGACAACCCAAUAUUAUUCGCGCGGGUCAUACGACGUUGGCGACGGUGACGUGAGAGUAUGAAACCGUCAAAGCUUAUGCGGCAUCUCACAACCAAGCAUCAAAAAGAAGCUGAUAAGCCGUUGGAUUUCUUUGAACGAAAGUUGAAAGCUCUUAGUCAGCAGCAAAAUACUAUAAUUCAGGCAUCCAGUGUAAACGAGUCAACAUUAUUAGCUGGCUACAAAGUCGCAUAUCGAGUUGCUAAAGCAGGGAAACCACAUACAAUUACCGAAAAUCUUAUUUUGCCAGCGGCACUCGGUAUGGUUGAAAUUAUGGUCAGUAAGCAGGAGGCAACCAAAUUAAUAAAAAUACCACUUUCUGACAAUAGUAUUUUACGCAGAAUAAACGAUAUGGGCAAGGAUAUUCAAGAACAAAAAUUAAAGAAUAGCCAACAUUUUGCUUUGCAGUUCGAUGAAUCUUCUGAUGUUUCCGACUGUGCACAGUUUAUAGUAUUUGUGCGCUUUGAAGCAGAUGACAGUAUUACGGAAGAAAUCUUAUUUUGCAAAGCACUUCCUGCAAACACUACUGGCCAGUGUUUGUACGAUAUGUUUUUAGAAAGCACUUGCGACUACGAUAUUGAUUGGAAAAAAUGUAUCGCUAUUUGUAGCGAUGGCGCUAAAGCUAUGACUGCCAAAAAUAGCGAACUCAUUGCAAAAUUAAAAUCGAUAAUACCAAACAUAUCCUGGACACACUGUUUUCUUCAUCGACAGGCUCUAGCUGCUAAGGUAGUACCUUCUUAUUUAAAUGCCGUGCUCAAGGAGGUAAUACUUAAAAAUUGUGAAUUCUAUCAAAGGUAAAGCUUUGUAAACCCGGCUAUUUAGAAUCGUUUGUGAAGAUAUGGGAUCAAUUCAUUAAAAUCGUCUUUAUCACACAGAGGUCAGAUGGCAAUCCAAAGGAAAGGUAUUGACAAGAGUUCUGGAACUGAGAGCUGAAUUGUUAAUGUUCUUACAAGAUGCAAAAUCAGAAUAUGCUUACCGUUUUUCUGACCCUAUUUGGCUCUUGAAAUUAGCAUUUUUGGCAGAUCAUUUUAGCCACCUUAACAAUGUGAACAAGAACCUUCAAGGAAGAGAAGAAAAUAUUUUAUCAGCUAAAAAUAAAGUAAAAGCAUUUCAGGAAAACUUCGUUUGUGGUCGACCUCUCGGGAAAACAAAAUGUUUGAGUCUUUUCUCUGUGUUCAGAAGAUUGUUGAAGAUAAUGCAUCAGACCAAAGUCUUGCAGUUUCGGCUCAUAUUCCUUGCAUGAUACAAAGCUUGCGUAAUUUACAAGAGAAGCUUUUGACAUACUUUCCAGACUUGCACUCUGAAGCUGACAAUGGGCGUAGAUGGACUUUAAACUCUUUUUCGGACAAAUAAAUAGAUCUGGCUGAUGUCAACACAAAAAUGAAAGAAUGUCUUCUAGAAUUAGCUACUGAUGGCAUGCUUAAAAUGGAAUUUUAUUCGCGAAGUGUCGACGUAUUUUGGAUGAAAAGAAAACACGAAUAUCCAGAGCUGGCAAGGGAAGCUCUUAAAAUGUUAGUGCCAUUCGCCACUUCAUACUUGUGUGAAUUGACAUUUUCUUCAAUGGUAGACAUUAAAACUAAAAAGAGAAAUAGACUGCAAUUAGAAAAUGAUUUAAUUAUUAAUGUUUCAAAAAUAACACCACUAAUGAAAAAUAAACAAGCACAUCUUUCUCAUUAUAAUUAUGUUUUUGUUGUGUAAGAACCUCGACUUUUUCUUUCAGCUGGCGACCCCCCGAGUAAGGCUUCGCGACCCACAGAUUGAAAAACCUUAGGGGUCGCGACCCACAGAUUGAAAAACACUGCAUAAGACUAAUAUUGGGUUGUCAAAAAAGUCUUGCGGUAUUUUCGCUAGUUGGUGCUGAAAGCGCGUAGUUCUAGUUUUAUUCGUCGCAUCGGGUCAUGCUAUACCUUUUUGAAAAGCUCAUUUCACGCGCUAACACGUGCUUGAUUGAUUGCCGUUUCUUUUAAGUCGUUCGUGAGUUAUAGCAUCGCAAACAUGGAGCAAAAUAAAGAGAAAAUACGGCAUAUUUUACAGUACUACUACGAUAAAGGCAAAAAUGCAUCUCAAGCCGCCAAUAAAAUUUGUGCAGUUUAUGGACCCGAUACAGUUUCCAUUUCCACCGCACAACGAUGGUUUCAACGUUUUCGUUCUGGUGUAGAGGUGGUCGAAGAUGCGCCACGCUCCGGAAGGCCUGUCGUCGAAAAUGGCGAUAAAAUCGCUGAAUUGGUCGAAAGAGACCGGCAUAGUAGCAGCCGUAGCAUCGGUCAAGAGCUGGGCAUGAGUCAUCAAAGAUUCAUUUCAAUUUCAAUCAAAAAAAAAAUUCAAUAAAAAUACCGCAAGACUUUUUUGACAACCCAAUAUGAUAGAAGAUGUAUGUAUAUGUAUAUUGUUGUGAUAAAUUUAAUUUCUAUUGCUUGGGCAUACAUACAUAUAUGCCAGGUCAUUAUAUGCCGAAAAUACAUAUCGUCACAUGAAAUGCAAAUUAACGUAACAACAUUUUCAGAAAUUUACAGUGGCAUGAAUGAAACACGGAAUAAAAUGGAACAUGAGUGAAACGAAAUAUUAAUAUUGGUUAAAACUGGUUUAUAUAUGACCGCAGAACCAGAAAAUGUUGAACAUAUUUAAUAUUUAUUAUGUAUAUAAUUUGAAGUAGUGAAGCGUAAUCAAUAAGACACUCAAUUUCCAAUUUUUUGAUGAUACGUUAUUUUGCAUUUCAGGUGACGAUAUGUACAUAUAUUUAUCUUCAUAUUCUCUGUUUGAGUAUGUGAGAGAACUGUUAAAAAUGUUAACAUUUCACAUCGUGAAUUCUGUGGUUGUGAGGUGAAUUCCGUACUAUAAUGUAUAAAAUGUUCGACAUCGAACAUGCACCUUCUCUAUGUUUUAAGUUCUCCGACUUAACUACCUAAUAAUAAAAAUGUAACUAAGUACAUACUAUCUACCUUCUCCUCUAAAUUUCGUUCAGCCGUUUUGGCAUGUUAGAGCAAAACUCCCAGCAAAAACCAUAACAAAAUCACUAACUCAAUUCAGUUUUUUGCAUACUUCCUACCCCCUAAGAACGAUGGCGUGAUUAUUUAUAGCCUAUGACCAUUUCUAGGUUAUCAUCUACUCGUAUCACCCUACCAAAUUUCAUCAAAAUCCGUUCAGCCGUUUAGGAGUGAAAGAGUAACAGACAGACAGGGUUACUUUCGCUUUUAUAACAUUAAUUUGGAUUAUAUGAGUAAUUUUUGAGAUCAAGGCCGACCGGUCCAUAUAGACCUUGGGCGGCAUUUUGGAAAAAUUUCUUCACAUAUUUUAAUAUUAUUUUUAUAUAUUUUUUUAAUAUUUUUAUUUCAUUUACUCAAUAUAAUAUAAUAUAUAAUACCUCAAAGUCAUAGUUUCAUAUUAAAUACUAGCAGCCCUAGUCUCGUCUCUUUAUGUUUAAUUUCUUUGAUGGUUUAAGUGGCGGGCACUUAAAUAAGUAAUAUUUACAUAGAAUAUUAUAUACAUUUUUACUAUGUUUUUUUAAGUAAUUACAAUAAAAG